ensembl:Y_RNA Y_RNA Y RNA
GGUUAGUCGGAGUGCAGUGGUGUUUACAACUAACUGAUCACAACCAAUUACAGAUCUUUUUGUUUCCUCUCUACUCCCACUGUCUGACUUGGCUAGCCCUUA